AGCCUGCUGAGAUCUCCAAAGGGCUCUUGGCACCUGGAGGGCAAAGAAGGAGAAAAGUGCAGUUGUUUCUUCUAUUGCUGCUCUAAAGAUCUUCACCAAGUGCUUCUUGUGGCAAUCCAAGCUACUUUAAUGCGGUUACAGAACAUGAUGGAACUGUAGAAACCAGGGCAACAAAUGCUGAAUGUUUAAAGAGCUGCUUUGCAUAAUGGAGAUUGGCACCAAAAGGAAGCCUGAUGAAAUGGUACCAAGCUGACUGAUGCCUUAUGUGAUGGCAGCUGACGAAGUUUACCUGUCACUGAAGGAGAGAUGUCAAAAUAAUCCAGUAAGAAGAGACUGAAAUCCUAGAAUAAGCUACCUACCUGCUGGACAAAAUACUGAACAAAAAGACAAUUUCCAUCUUGAAGGCUGGAUGGUCCUGCUGUAAAACAGAAGAUAAUAGCUAGAGGAAAGAAGAAACAAGAAGUGGCACUGCUGGUCAGCAAAUGAAGCUGUAAAGUUAAUGGCAGACGUCCCAGAAAAAGAAACGGGUUAAGAAAUUUUUUUGAAGAUGCUUAUAGGGAAAUUCUGUCCAUGCUAGUUUAACACAGAAGUCAGCAUUAAUAUUUAUGUGAGAAAAUUUAAACAGUUGAUAUGGGAGGCUGGCAUUGUGGAGAUGAGGCAAGUUAAUGUGAUCUCAUCUGUGAGUGUGAGAUAAUCCUGUGUGUGGGAAAGGACUGGCUGCAAAUAGACUUGACUCAGAAGACUAAGUUCCUAAAGUUUGAUGUGAUAGAAAGGGGAAGUGUGUGGUGCCUCCAAGGAGAGGGUUUAUACAAAGAUAUGCUCUUUUGCUAUGACUAAUAGACAGAAAUUAUUACUAAGUAGUAUUUUAUGCAAAGGUAAAAUGCUAUGUGACUUGUAAUCUGAGGCAUCUCACUCUGGUGUGCAUUCUGUAGGAGGCUGAGCAGCUGAUUAAGACUAGAGACUGUUACAGGCUCCUAUGGUUUUUGAAAUCUUCCUGUAUGUUUGGAUUUCCAAUUGCUUGGGGGGGGGGGGAAAUGUUGCUUCAUGAAA